rnacentral:rRNA from 1 species
GCUGGCGGCAAGCCUUACACAUGCAAGUCGAGCGGUAACAUUUCUAGCUUGCUAGAAGAUGACGAGCGGCGGACGGGUGAGUAAAGCAUAGGAAUCUGGCCAAUAGAGGGGGAUAGCCCGGAGAAAUCCGGAUUAAUACCGCAUACACUCUAUGGAGAAAAAGCAGGGGGAUCUUCGGACCUUGCGCUAUUGGAUGAGCCUAUGUCGGAUUAGUUAGUUGGUGGGGUAAAGGCCUACCAAGGCAGCGAUCCGUAGCUGGUCUUAGAGGAUGAUCAGCCACAUCGGGACUGAGACACGGCCCGAACUCCUACGGGAGGCAGCAGUGGGGAAUAUUGCACAAUGGGCGCAAGCCUGAUGCAGCUAUGCCGCGUGUGUGAAGAAGGCCUUAGGGUUGUAAAGCACUUUCAGUAGUGAGGAAAAGUGUUGUGUUAAUAACGCAAUGCUGUGACGUUAGCUACAGAAGAAGGACCGGCAAGCUCCGUG